rnacentral:rRNA from 1 species
UACGGGGGGUGCGAGCGUUGUCCGGAAUCACUGGGCGUAAAGGGCGCGUAGGUGGUUUGAUAAGGGUGUGGUGAAAGUCCGGAGUCAACUCCGGAUCUGCCGUGCCGACUGUCAAACUCGAGGGCUGUAGAGGCAGACGGAAUUCCGGGUGUAGCGGUGGAAUGCGUAGAGAUCCGGAGGAAGACCGGUGGCGAAGGCGGUCUGCUGGGCAGUUUCUGACACUGAGGCGCGACAGCGUGGGGAG